GAAGCUGGCACCUCCGGUGUCCGCGUUGUAAUCUCGAGACGUGUUUUCCGUGCGGCUCUAUGGACAAGUCCCUUGGAAUAGGGCAUCGUAGAGGGUGAGAAUCCCGUACUUGCCAUGGAAGAACCGUGCUUUGCGAUACACGCUCUAAGAGUCGAGUUGUUUGGGAUUGCAGCUCAAAAUGGGUGGUAGACUCCAUCUAAAGCUAAAUAUCGGGGAGAGACCGAUAGCGAACAAGUACCGUGAGGGAAAGAUGAAAAGCACUUUGGAAAGAGAGUUAAAAGUACGUGAAAUUGUCGAAAGGGAAGCACUUGAAGUCAGCCAUGCUGCUUGAGACUCAGCCUGGCCUUUGGGCUUGGUGUAUUUCUCGGUGGCAAGCCAGCAUUGGUUUGGGUCGUCGGAGAAGCGCAUAGGGAAUGUAGCGUCCCCGGACGUGUUAUAGCCUUAUGCAGGAUACGACGACCUGGAUCAAGGAACGCAGUGUGCCCUCUGG
rnacentral:rRNA from 1 species